GCACCUUUAUCAUCAAAUACGCACCUUUAUCAUCAAAUACGCACCUUUAUCAUCAAAUACGCCAAUAUGCCCCCCCAGCUCAGUGAAUUUACCAUCAAUGAGAUUGUACACCUUCUAAACAAUGGUUAUAUGCCUGCUCAGAUUGCACAGACCAUUGAGUGCCAUCUGACCACUGUAUAUCAAAUUCAACAAAAUAUUCACUGCUUUGGAACUGCUAGAAGUCCUCAUUCAACAUGGGGUGUAAAGCCAAAGAUCACAUCAGAUAUCUUGUCAGAUUUGAAGGACUUUUUUGAGAUAUAUUCAACUGCAUAUCACAAUGAGGCUGUCUGCUUUGUGAAGGAUGAAUUUGAUGUUGAUAUCCAUUCUCAAUUGAUAUCUAGAUUGUUGAAGAAACUGAAUUUGAC
rnacentral:sRNA from 1 species